rnacentral:lncRNA from 1 species
AAAUCUUUAUCUGACAGUGAAUCUGAUGACAGCAAAUCAAAGAAGAAAAGAGAUGCUGCUGACAAACCAAGAGGAUUUGCCAGAGGUCUUGAUCCUGAAAGAAUAAUUGGUGCCACAGACAGCAGUGGAGAAUUGAUGUUUCUCAUGAAAUGGUGAAUUCAGAUGAGGCAGACUUGGUGCUGGCGAAAGAGGCAAAUAUGAAGUGUCCUCAAAUUGUAAUUGCUUUUUAUGAAGAGAGACUAACUUGGCAUUCUUGUCCAGAAGAUGAAGCUCAAUAAUUGUUCACAUUGUUCUUUUAUAUAUAUUUAUAUAUAUAUAUAAAAAUUGGGUCUUAGAUUUUGAUUUACUAGUGUGACAAAAUAACUACAUCCUAAUGAAAAUCAAGUUUGAUAUGUUUGUUUUGAAAGUAGCGUUGGAAGAGUUGUUGGGGGUUUUUUGCAUCCAUAGCACUGGUUACUUUGAACAAAUAAAUAAAAGCUUUCUGUAGUUGCUUCCUUUAUCAGAAAAGAACAUUUGAUACCAUGGUAUAUCAUUUCCUCUUCAUUAAAGAACAGCUUUUCUAAAUGUUGGGGGAAAUGUCCAUAGUCAUUACUCAGUCAAAACUUGUGUUCUCAUGAGCCUAAGGACCAUUCUAGAUUUAUUACGUGUUUUUUGUGUGUGUGUGUGUGUGUGUGUGUGUGUGUAUCCAUAAAAUGCAUAUGUAAAUUUUUUUUUGUUUUUAAGCAUUCACCCAAACAAAAAAAUCACAGGUAAACCCAUGUUUCUGAGAUGCCAUUAUUCCAAGCAAAAUAAGAGAUAAUCCCUUCAAGUUAAAUUGAAAAUUUUCCUGAAACCAUACAUUUCAAGUGAAAUAAGUAAUUCUAGAUAGGACAAUUUAAAUUGGAUAAUUUUAAAGUGUCUAUAAUUGCAGUGGUUUAUUUGCAAAAUUCC